rnacentral:rRNA from 1 species
UGUAAUCUUAGUGGCGGACGGGUGAGUAACGCGUGGGUAACCUGCCUUACACUGGGGGAUAACACUUAGAAAUAGGUGCUAAUACCGCAUAAGCGCACGAAGCCGCAUGGAUUUGUGUGAAAAACUCCGGUGGUGUAAGAUGGACCCGCGUCUGAUUAGCUUGUUGGCGGGGUAACGGCCCACCAAGGCGACGAUCAGUAGCCGGCCUGAGAGGGUGGACGGCCACAUUGGGACUGAGACACGGCCCAAACUCCUACGGAAGGCAGCAG